ensembl:lncRNA
UUGCAGUCAGGGGAUUGUUUCACUCAGAGCAGAUGACGACAACUUUUACUGCUGUGCUGAAAAGUCAGAGGGAGAACACCACUCCAUCUCCUUCUACAAGCUCACCAGCUGGUAUGAUGGUGCUGCCUGCAGGGUGCCACUUACAUUCUCAGAUCCUGACUCCUGUACUUCCAGACAAGGUGGAUAUUUAUGCACUGAAUACAGACCGGAGGAACUGUGUCCACACCUUGGUGACGGCCUCAUCGUCACUAGAGUAAUCUCUGCUCUUGAUCGCACAGAAGACAGUGAGAUGACAAACCACUGGAGAGUCACGGACUACAGCUCAGAGGCAGAGUUAUCAUGUCGGAGUUCUGCCAGUUUCUAAAGACGUUUAGACAGGGUGCGAAGAGAGAGGCUACAGAGGACGAGAGCAGGAGCCCCACUCCACCAAGGAAACUGAAGCCUUCCCUGGAGAACUUAUUUUCUCAAGACUCUUUAAGUUUUAAGACUUUGGCAUUGAUUCCAUCAACUGCGUUGGACAUAUGGCAGGGCUGUGACUGGAUGUUGAACCAGGGACAUCUAUUGUAGAGCCAACUGUAAAUCGGUGCAAAAUGAAGUAAGGAUCCAUAAAGACAGUGCCAAGUGGAUCGGCAAGAAUCAAGAAAGUGAUGCCAGCUUUUCAUUUUUCAUUUCCGGUUCUGGUCUCUUCACUGUGCUGUGCUCCACCACUCCUGCAACCUAGAACUGGUCUAGUAACUUGUGUCUUACAGUAACAUAAGUGCUACAUAGGGGCUUUAGCUGUCUAGCUCAAAUUUCUCUCUACGAUGUAGGGUUUGGAUUUUCUCUCCUAAACUGAUCGUCUGGCAGUCUCCGCCGGUCGAUCUGCCUGAGUGUAUGUUUUUCUGUUUUGUUUUGGCUCCCCUGCCUUCUCCUGUAUGUGUGUUUUCCAGUGUGCCAGUUUAUGGGCGUCAUCAGGCCAGAAGGUCUUUCCCACGCUGAAGCCAGCCACACCUGUCUUUCAUCUAGAUUCCAGGUGCUGCUGAUCACUUUCGCAAAGUGGUUACUAAACUGUUUGACUGAGCUUGAGUCAACGCUGGAUCGUUCAGUUAUCGAAAGUUCUGUUCAAAAACCAUCAACAGAAUCAUUCCAACAAUGUGAACCUGAAGCUGUCACUGCAACUCUACUAAUGCCCAGUUUGUAACAACAGACAUGAUGCCUCAUGCUACAAAACAGCCCUAAGAGAUGCAGUUAAAUGUGGCCUCAAAGUCCAAAAAACCGCACACAUAUCAUACAGUUGGGCAAACUUGUCGACACUGUUCUUCAGAGGAUAAAGUGCUGGUGCCGUGUUCCACCACCAGACUUCCAAACUAUGUUGCAGAGAUGUGCAAACCAGGAAAGCACAAGAGCCUUAAGGCCAUUUUCAGAACUUUUUUAAAUUGUAAUUCUAAGAAUCGUUUGGCACAUGGUGUUUUGGAAAUGUAAAUAAUGAUCAAAUGAUAACUACAACAGCGGCAUUAAUAAUAAUGUUACUAAGAGUUAUAGCCCUUCAUUUCUUCUAAAUCUGUGUGUAGAACACCAACAGAUUCAUUAAAAUAUACAUGAAU